rnacentral:sRNA from 1 species
GAGGAUGAGAACCUCCGGGAGCAAGAGGUUCGACCCGAGCGAAGCGAGAGAACGUUGCGUCAGCAACGGCCCGCAGGGCGAGCCACGCAGUGGCGAGUCAUCCUC